rnacentral:rRNA from 1 species
UACGGGGGGGGCAAGCGUUGUUCGGAAUUACUGGGCGUAAAGGGCGCGUAGGCGGCACGGCAAGUCAGGAGUGAAAGCCCUGGGCUCAACCCGGGAACUGCUUUUGAAACUGCCGAGCUAGAGUGCGGAAGGGGCAACUGGAAUUCCCAGUGUAGCGGUGAAAUGCGUAGAUAUUGGGAAGAACACCUGAGGCGAAGGCGGGUUGCUGGGCCGACACUGACGCUGAGGCGCGAAAGCCAGGGGAGCGAACGGG